rnacentral:rRNA from 1 species
GGUUAAGCGACUAAGCGUACACGGUGGAUGCCCUGGCAGUCAGAGGCGAUGAAGGGCGUGCUAAUCUGCGAUAAGCGCCGGUAAGGUGAUAUGAACCGUUAUAACCGGCGAUACCCGAAUGGGGAAACCCAGUGUGAUUCGUCACACUAUCAUUAACUGAAUCCAUAGGUUAAUGAGGCGAACCGGGGGAACUGAAACAUCUAAGUACCCCGAGGAAAAGAAAUCAACCGAGAUUCCCCCAGUAGCGGCGAGCGAACGGGGAGGAGCCCAGAGCCUGAAUCAGCAUGUGUGUUAGUGGAAGCGUCUGGAAAGGCGCGCGAUACAGGGUGACAGCCCCGUACACAAAAGCGCAUGUGUUGUGAGCUCGAUGAGUAGGGCGGGACACGUGGUAUCCUGUCUGAAUAUGGGGGGACCAUCCUCCAAGGCUAAAUACUCCUGACUGACCGAUAGUGAACCAGUACCGUGAGGGAAAGGCGAAAAGAACCCCGGCGAGGGGAGUGAAAAAGAACCUGAAACCGUGUACGUACAAGCAGUGGGAGCACAGGUUUACCUGUGUGACUGCGUACCUUUUGUAUAAUGGGUCAGCGACUUAUAUUCUGUAGCAAGGUUAACCGUAUAGGGGAGCCGGAGGGAAACCGAGUCUUAAU